UACGGAGGGUGCAAGCGUUAAUCGGAAUUACUGGGCGUAAAGCGCGCGUAGGCGGUUAGUUAAGCGGGAUGUGAAAUACCUGGGCUCAACCUGGGAACUGCAUUUCGAACUGGCUGGCUAGAGUACAGAAGAGGGUGGUGGAAUUUCCAGUGUAGCGGUGAAAUGCGUAGAGAUUGGAAGGAACAUCAGUGGCGAAGGCGGCCACCUGGUCUGAUACUGACGCUGAGGCGCGAAAGCAUGGGGAGCAAACAGG
rnacentral:rRNA from 1 species